rnacentral:rRNA from 1 species
ACGGCUCAGUAACACGUAGUCAACCUGCCCUGAAGACACGGACAACCCCGGGAAACUGGGAUUAAUCCGUGAUAGGCCAUCUCAUCUGGAAGGAGAGAUGGCUUAAAGGGGUGCGAGAGCUUCUUUCUUGUACCCGCUUCAGGAUGGGACUGCGGCCGAUCAGGCUGUUGGUGGGGUAAUGGCCCACCAAACCUGUAACCGGUACGGGCCUUGAGAGAGGGGGCCCGGAGAUGGACACUGAGAGAAGGGUCCAGGUCCUACGGGGCGCAGCAGGCGCGAAACCUUCGCAAUGCGCGAAAGCGUGACGAGGUUAAUCCGAGUGGUCCCCGCUGAGGGGAUCUUUUGUUGGCUGUAAAAAGGCCAGUGAAUAAGGGGAGGGCAAGUCUGGUGUCAGCCGCCGCGGUAAUACCAGCUCCUCGAGUGGUCGGGGCGAUUAUUGGGCCUAAAGCAUCCGUAGCCUGUUCUGUAGGUCCUCUGUCAAAUCCAACGGCUUGACCGUUGGCCCGCAGAGGAUACCGCAGGACUAGGAGGCGGGAGAGGUGGACGGUACUCCACGUGUAGGGGUAAAAUCCUUUGAUCCGUGGAAGACCACCAGUGGCGAAGGCGGUCCACCAGAACGCGCUCGACGGUGAGGGAUGAAAGCUGGGGGAGCGAACCGGAUUAGAUACCCGGGUAGUCCCAGCCGUAAACAAUGCAAGCUAGAUGAUCCGGUCGCAAAUCGCGAUCGGAGUGUCGCAGGGAAGCCGUUAAGCUUGCCGCCUGGGGGAGUACGGUCGCAAGACUGAAACUUAAAGGAAUUGGCGGGGGAG